ensembl:lncRNA
GAUAAGGAAACCGUUAGACUCAUUCUGAAAGAAAACUUGAAUAUGAGAAAAGUGUCUGCAAAAAUUAUAUCAGGUAUUCUGAAGGAUGAACCUAAGCCUGGGAAACUUGACUGUCGGUCUGCUCUCUCAAAGGAAACUCGGAAAAAUAGCUCAUGGGUAAGGAGAAAGCUGACAAGUUCUGAAACAUGGACUCAUCUCCAGUGUGAAGCUGGUGGAGAAAUACCUCCGCCUGUAUCUCAUCCCCAGAACCACUUCCCUGCCAGCCAGCUUCUGCAGGCUUCGCCAUCAACAAGCCUUCCCGCCAGAGCAGCUCAGGACUGGUUCACACCAUGGUGAAGGGAUGUGAGGCAGCUGAGCCUGAGGUGGUAGAAAACCGCCACACAGUUAGGCACCUUCAUUUGCUGCUCCUCCAUUUCCAGUCUUUUCCAUUCCUUCCCACAUGUCACAGCCCUCUGAGUAACUCUUGCUGGACUGAUGGGCCAUCUCCCAAUUUUGAAGAACUUGGCUGUUGGCUUCUGCUACUUGCUUGUUCUAGAACUUUUGCUUAACAAGUUUGGAUCUCCUUGCUGCCCAGACCUUAGCUUGCGGUGGCUGUCCUGGUCCUGUGUUCUCAGCAUUCUGCCUCAGGGGAUCAUACCAUUAAAAGGUGGGAACAGGACCCCUGGAGUCUUUCUGUGCUCAGGAAGGCAUAUUCUUCUGGGAGGACCCCAAAAGAAGGCCUCCAGCUCCAGCCUGCUUCACAGGCAGGACCUGAGGAUUCAUGCAGUGAAACUUUUCCCAAGUGGAUUCCAAGGAAUACCACAUAGACUGGAGACAUCUCAGAAAUGCCUGAUGGAGGAUAGAAAUGCCUGUCGACGUGCCAAGCCCACCUCCUCCCAUACUGGGACACGCAGCAACAUGGAUGUACAUGGAAAUAUUUGGUGUUCUACGCUGAGAAUUCCACAGCAUAUCAUGAGUCAUCCUAAUGUUGUAACUUACAAAACUAAAGUUUGCAAAUGUUAUUUUGGUGGAAUCUGGAAUCACUGUGCUUUUUAUUUAGGUCUUCAGAGUAAUUGUGUUAUGGGAUUUUAAAGUGAGAGACGAUGUAGAUAAUGCCUGUCCACAGAUGAAAUUGCUGUUAUGCUGGGGAAAUAUGUCCGCUGUUGUUGCUUUAGCAAACUGCUGACCGUUAAAAUGCCAAAUAUAUCUCCUCAGUAAAAUUUCAGACUUUCAGUUGAGUAUGUAUAUCUUCUAUAGGCAUAUAGAUUAUAGAUUUGCCAAGCUGAGAGAGUUCUUCAAGACCGAAGUAUAGGCAUUGGUCUGUAGAAAGAAUGGAAGAGUGAGACGUGGAUGUUAGUUCUGGCUCCUUAAAAGACCACGUGACUUUGGGCAAUUCGUUUUGCACCCUUGGAGCACUCUAGCUUACUCAUCUGUAAAAGGAGAAUAAUUUCACUUAUCUCAUGGACUUGUUUGUUUUGUACAUUCAACAAAUGUUUCUUGACUGCGUAUGUGUAUCUGACAUGGUUCUAGACACUGAGGAUACAGCAAUAAAGGAGACAAAGGAAUGUUCCCCCUUUUGAACAUACAUUCAAGAGCAAGAAUAAUAUAGCAUGUUAGUGAUUAUUAGAUGUGAGGCUUACAUUAAAUAACGUAGAUGGUGCCCAGCACAAGGCUUGGCAUGUAGUACUCGAUAGUGAUUUCCUUUGUUUUUUGGGGUUUGUUUGUUUGGUUUGGUUUUAGAAAGAGAGAGUACAAGUGAGGGAGUGGGAUAGAAAGAGAGAGAGAAGAAUCUCAAGCAGGCUCAGGACCAAGAGGAGGGAGUGGGAGAGUGGGUUCAACUUGGGGCUCGACCCCAUAACCCUGAAAUCAUGACCUGAGCCAAAAUCAAGAGUCAGACCCUCAGCCAACUAAGCCACCAGGCACUUCUUCCUUUGCUUCUUUAGUCUUCCUAACGGCUCUUGAAUUAUUCUACAAAAUGGUAGUAAUUGGCAAAAAGCCUGACCCAGUGCCUUCUAGCUCUUAGCAGUUAAUAAGGCCUAAACCUGUUUUUGCUUAAGAAGACAAGUAAUUCUUACAGUUUUGUUUUGUACCUCCUUUAUGGCAGAAUAAUCAAGGUGUUACCUCAACACUGUUGACAAAUGGCCUUUUCUGAAGCCAGUUAGCAGGAGUCUUGCCUCGAGCUAGAUGGCAGGUGUUGGGUCCACAAAGACAAAUGAAUGGUGUCAUUGCUGUUUAAGUAAAACAUGCAGAGAUCACAAUGGCGGUUUCUGUUAAAGUUGUGUGCCCUAUGUCCCGUUGCUAAUACUGGUGAGCUGGGCAAAGUUUGCAUUAUUUAUGGGAGACCAGGUCAUUGACAAAAAACUGGGAAAAGGCAGGCUUAAUGCCUGUGGUAUGUUUAUAUUUCUGUCCCAUUGUGGAAAAUUUGGAAGGUUCAGGAAUGUUGGAAAACAGCAGCCAAAAGUUCACCCCUUGGGGUCAGGUACUUCACUAGACCCAUUUCUCUGUUUCCUCCAGAAACAUCCAGUGAACGUCCAUUUACUGAAUUUCUUCUUCAGGGCUGGGCCUGUGCUAGGCACAGCGGGGUACGGCCCUUGCUUUUAGGCUGUGCCUGGCCUCAUGGCAGAGAGACAGGGCCAGAGGUGGAGAGACAGCUCAGAAGGGGCUCCCACCUUCCACUGCCAGUCUUUCCCAGAGGACAACUGGAAGGAACAAGCUUGUACACAGAAUUUGGGGCAAAAAGUUAGAAUGAUCACACAUACGGCAAUUAUAGGAAUCAAAAAGUGGGGUACAGAGAGGCAAAACACAGAACAAUGGUGAGUGGCCUGCUGGCUGUCCCAUCCCGGGAUCCGGUGUGAGGUCUUGUCUCUCAGAAGAACCUGGAUGUUAGGCUGGAGGCCAGUACCCUAUACCUUGCUUUAAGGACCUACUAAGUGAAAAUUCAGAAUUACAACUCAGAUUAGAUGCAGAAAUUUGCCCAUGGAAGUUGAGUGGUUUUUCUUGAAUCACACAUCUAGCUGGUGGCAGAGCCAGGAUAAUAAUGAAGGACCUUGAAUUUCACUCAGUGCAGUGAGGUUUUUUCCAUUACUCCAUUAGUAAUUGCCUUUACUAAUAUGUGCAUUGUGAAGGUAUCUUUAAAAUAGCAGUCAAUGUUUGAUAAAUAUAUGACUUACCAACAGUUGAUUUAUAUGCAGUUUUUAAAGGAACAUACUUAUAGCAUAAAAGUAGGACAAAGGUUUUUCCAAGUUUCCUUCGGGUGUCCAGGCCCUUUGGUCCUUCUAUCAGAGGUGUGUGUUCAUAAGCAAAUGCUGGCAUUCUGUCAUUCAUUUUUUCCAGAUGUCCUUCUUGAGUAGUGUGUUGGGUUUUAUGUUUUUAAUAUUUCUUAUAUACAUUUUUUUAAAUCUGGACACAUAAAUCCUAAUAAAGUUCUCAACUAUCUCCUCUAUG